rnacentral:sRNA from 1 species
GGUUUAGAUCCACCUAGACUUUCUGGUAAACCAAGAUAGGAGCCCAUACCACCAACAUU